UCACGACUGGUUCGUGAUCCCCGCCGUGACGCACACCCUCCCCGAAGCAACUAGCCCUGAAAAUGGAUGGCGCUGAAUCGUCGAGCCUAUACUCUGCCGUCAGCGGCAAGUGGGGCGGCGUCCGUGCGUUGUCGCACGCGCCGCCACGAAGCCUUGACGAGUAGGAGAGUCGCAACGAUGUGUACAGAAGUGUUUGGGCGCGAAUCUGCCUGGAGUUGCCGUCGGUGCAGAUCUUGAUGGUAGCAAAUAUUCCAGCGAGGCUCUGGAGGACUGACGUGAAGAAGGGUUUCGUGUGAACAGCCCUUGCACACGAGUCAAUCGAUCCUAAGCCCUAGGAGAAAUCCUAUGUCAAUGACGGCGUGCGAUACUCUAGUGUCCACAUACAAAGUACAGAAAUACAAUGAUAUAAUGUAGUGUUGAGUGAGAGGCACACGCCCGUUGGACGAAAGGGAAUCCGGUUCCUAUUCCGGAACUCGGCAGCGGAACCGCAUACAAUUCGGGCCCUAAGAGAGUUAACCCGUCGGGGUAACCCAAAAUGACCUGGAGACGCCGUCGGGAGAUCCGGGAAGAGUUUUCUUUUCUGUAUAAGCGUUCGAGUUCCCUGGAAACCUCUAGUACGGAGAUAGGGUUUGGAACGCGAAGAGCACCGCAGUUGCGGCGGUGUCCGGAUCUUCCCUUCGGACCUUGAAAAUCCAGGAGAGGGCCACGUGGAUGUGUCGCGCUGGUUCGUACUCAUAUCCGCAGCAGGUCUCCAAGGUGAAGAGCCUCUAGUCGAUAGACUAAUGUAGGUAAGGGAAGUCGGCAAAUUGGAUCCGUAACUUCGGAAUAAGGAUUGGCUCUGAGGAGCGGGGCGUGUCGGGCUUGGUCGGAAAGCGGGUCUGGCGUGUCGGGCCUGGGCGAGGUGAACGCUCGGCGUUCUCGCGCCGGUUCCGGGACCCGAGCUCAGUCCCGUGCCUUGGCCUUCCGCGGAUCUUCCUUGCUACAAGGCUUCCGUGGCGGCGAGCCGUCGUGGUCGUCCUCUUCGGCCGCCAUUCAAUGCUCAGAUCAGAAGUGGCACGGAUUAGGGGAAUCCGACUGUCUAAUUAAAAUAAAGCAUUGCGAUGGCCCUCGCGAAUGUUGACGUAAUGUGAUUUCUGCCCAGUCCUCUGAAUGUCAAAAGAAAUUCAAGCAAGCGCGGGUAAACGGCCGGAAUAACUAUGACUUUCUUAAGGAGAAAUAGUUGAGAUUGCGAAUAUAAAUCUAGUUAGGUCCCUAGCCUCUCACAUUCAAGUCACACAUCUACCUCCUCGUGGUACUCCUGGCUGCUCUGUGCUUGUGUAGAAUAGCUGAAUGGUGUUGUGGCGAGUCGGAGUUAGUGGGCGUACCAUCCGCCCUGACCCGGUCGAUUUGCGGGAGUAACCAGACUAUUCUAGCGGGUUUACUAUGAUCUAGGUAGUCAGGCUCUCUCAGUGCUUUUGUCUCCUAAGGAUUCGGGCGACUUUGGGCCUGGAGUCGGAAUCGGUUACAUGGACUUGGCAUGCGGCAUACACAUCCUCUGCUAGUCAAGUCAUGCACCCAUCUCUUUAGUGAUCUCGCUGGAACAGCUACAGCAACCGUGGUGUC
rnacentral:rRNA from 1 species